AAGAAAAAGAAAAAGAAAAAAAAUUGAAUUUUAUUUCUAGGAAUAUAGAGACAUCCUUGAAAAGCAGUCAAGUCCAACAAUUUUUUAUCAUUUUUGGUUUUUCAUCCUGGUAAUUACUUUAGUAUGUCAAUCAUGUUGCACUCUUUCUUAAUUUUCUUGGUGAUUUGGUUAACUCGGUUGGAUUAAAAUGCUCUAAGGUUAAUCCAUUUUCUUCAUUUGUUUUAUUGUCAGCUACACAGCUUGUUUACUGAUUAUCAUUCUUUUGCCAAUGCUUAACAAUUCUAGCUGAACUCUGGAAAAGUGGUUGCUGUGGGUCCUGGAUCUUGGGAUAAAGAUGGAAAGCUUAUUCCUGUUACUGUAAAGGAAGGAGACACUGUUCUUUUGCCUGAAUAUGGGGGCAUUGAAGUGAACCUUGGUGAUAAAGGGUAUCAUCUAUACCGAGAUGAGGAUAUCCUCGGAACUCUUCAUGAUUAAUGCAUAAUGUUUCCAAGUGUUGGAAAUUAAUUCAGUUAGAUACUCUUGAGAUUACUGUUGGUUUCCCAGCAUGCCAAUUGAAACUUGCAUCAACCUUGUCUUUUGUAUUCCCAAGGGAGUGAGGUUGGAAAUUAAUUUGCUGUGGGUAAUGAAAAAAAAUAUGAAAACUUUCUUAUCUUUUCAUUUGUUUAGCAUCAUCAUGGUCAAUAUCCCAUUAUAUAUUGUUAGUGUUCAGUCCAUUCGUGUUGCCAAAUCUGGGUAGCGGCCGCUCUACAGUUCCAUUCUUGGUUCCCCCAUUGAUUUUGACUUUUAUUUUGGAUGAAGAUAUAAAGGCUUGUAAAUUAAGGUUUUCCAUUGGUAAAACCUUCAAAGUUUCCUAAAUUUAUUCCUUAAUAUUCUCA
rnacentral:misc_RNA from 1 species